AAUGAACGCUGGCGGCAUGCCUAACACAUGCAAGUCGAACGAUCGCUUCGGCCUUAGUGGCGCACGGGUGCGUAACGCGUGGGAAUCUGCCCUCAGGUUCGGAAUAACAGCGAGAAAUUGGUGCUAAUACCGGAUGAUAUCGUGAGAUCAAAGAUUUAUCGCCUGAGGAUGAGCCCGCGUAGGAUUAGCUAGUUGGUGUGGUAAAGGCGCACCAAGGCGACGAUCCUUAGCUGGUAUGAGAGGAUGAUCAGCCACACUGGGACUGAGACACGGCCCAGACUCCUACGGGAGGCAGCAGUGGGGAAUAUUGGACAAUGGGCGAAAGCCUGAUCCAGCAAUGCCGCGUGAGUGAUGAAGGCCUUAGGGUUGUAAAGCUCUUUUACCCGGGAUGAUAAUGACAGUACCGGGAGAAUAAGCUCCGGCUAACUCCGUGCCAGCAGCCGCGGUAAUACGGAGGGAGCUAGCGUUAUUCGGAAUUACUGGGCGUAAAGCGCACGUAGGCGGCUUUGUAAGUUAGAGGUGAAAGCCUGGAGCUCAACUCCAGAAUUGCCUUUAAGACUGCAUCGCUUGAAUCCAGGAGAGGUGAGUGGAAUUCCGAGUGUAGAGGUGAAAUUCGUAGAUAUUCGGAAGAACACCAGUGGCGAAGGCGGCUCACUGGACAUAGUAUUGA
rnacentral:rRNA from 1 species